UCGGUAAGGUGAUAUGAACCGUUAUAGCCGACGAUUUCCGAAUGGGGAAACCCAAUAUCCAAUGGAUAUUAUCCUGACAUGAAUACAUAGUGUCAGGAAGCGAACCGGGAGAACUGAAACAUCUCAGUACCCCGAGGAAAAGAAAUCAACCGAGAUUCCCCUAGUAGCGGCGAGCGAACGGGGAACAGCCCAGAGUCUUAAUCAAUGGCAGCAUCAGGAGAACGGUCUGGAAAGUCCGGCAGUAAAGGGUGAUAGCCCCGUAUC
rnacentral:rRNA from 1 species